UACGUAGGGGGCAAGCGUUGUCCGGAUUUAUUGGGCGUAAAGAGCGUGUAGGCGAUCUGGUAGGUCCGUUGUGAAAACUCGAGGCUCAACCUCGAGACGCCGAUGGAAACCAUCAGACUAGAGUCCGGAAGAGGAGAGUGGAAUUCCUGGUGUAGCGGUGAAAUGCGCAGAUAUCAGGAAGAACACCCGUGGCUAAGGCGGCUCUCUAGUACGGUACUGACGCUGAGACGCGAAAGCGUGGGGAGCGAACAGG
rnacentral:rRNA from 1 species